GCGCCAGUCGCACCGAACCGAAUGGUUUCGCUCCGCUCCGGCUCCGCUCCACUUCGGGUCCCGACCCGACUCAUUCCCAGGACCUGACUCCACUUCGGGUUCGGUUCGGGCUCGGUCGCUUCGCCGAGGAGGAAAAGGAUAAGCGGCCACGGACGCCCACCGCGUCGCACCCUGCACCUCCCGUCCCCCCGACCCGAGCGCCACGGCCGGAGCCCGGAGAAUCCACGGCCGCCCGCCGUCUCGCUCCCAGGAGGCUCCCGUGGCCUGCACGCCCGGCGCCCCGGCGGCAGCCCUGCCCACCGCCGUGCGGCAGCCUGCAGGCGGAGGGCGCAGGCGCUCACCGGCUCACCGUCAACCCACAGCGGCGGAUCUGUCCUCAAGCCGCAGCCGCGGACGCCGAGGUCGUUUGCGCCGGGCAGGGGGUCACGGGGCACGUCGCGGCCUUGUUCCCGCCCCCGACAGCCUCAAUCCCCAACCCUAAGAUCUGUGCUUAGCUGGCGCCUGGUAACAUGACACCAACGGUCCUCAUGGAGUACAGGCCGCAGAUGCAGAUUAAACGGGGCUACGACGAAAUAGCUUACCGGGGCGGCGCGGGGUAUGCAGAGACUGUAGGUGAGUCGGGCAGCCCUGUUCGUGUUGACUCCGAAGAUUCCUCUGCGCCAAAACGCAAGUGCAUCAGCCUUAAUAGCGAUGGCUUUGAUGUGAAGCGAGAGAUCUUUGUCCCGUCUAAGUUGUCGUCGUCCGAGCGGCGCUACCUUCGAAAGAGAUUCCGGGCAGAGCUUGAUUCUGUCCGAUAUCUCCUCAAGAGGCCAGAGUUUUUGGCCAUCAUGCCUGUCACCCGAGCACCUGGUUUCUCAUCGUCAGCUGCCCCACGAGCUAAAAAAGUGCAACGGGGGAGCCAUGUUCUCCGUGGUGCCAAGGGACGCUUCUUGCCGACAAAACCCCGUCCUGAAACGUCUACAGUGUUGCCUGAAGCUACAAUUCAGAAGCAGUGCGAAGCUAUUCUGAAGAAGCUGAUGACUCAGAAAUUUAGUCAUAUUUUUAAUGUUCCAGUAGAUGUGGAAAAGCUGAAUAUUCCAGAUUAUAAUGAAAUUAUCAAGCACCCGAUGGACCUUGGGACCAUCAAGAAGAAGCUAGAUUCUGGUUCCUACACAAGUCCUUUUGAUUUUGCAGCUGAUGUCAGGCUGACCUUUAACAACGCGAUAACGUAUAAUCCCCGAGGGCAUGCAGUGCAUGAUAUGGCCAUUCAACUGAAUAAAAUGUUUGAGUCCAGAUGGAAAACAGUGGAGAAGAAGUUAGUUUCUGCCGCCACUAAGCCACAUGUUGAGGUUGAUAGGGCUGACUCAAAGAGGAGAAAGACCCCUCCUGUGGACCGCAGUGACCUGUCAAUAGAUUGUGUCAGGCCAACUGAGAUUGUGAAGCUGAAGAUGACAUUUGAGGAGAAAGAAUCCUUCGGAAACUGCUUAGCUUCUUUGUCCGAGGAUCCAGAAUUACCUGGUCACAUCAUUGAUAUGUUACAGCAGUGUAUUGACAACAAUACAGAUCAGCUUGGGGAUGAAGAGAUAGAGAUUGAUAUCCAUGCACUCAGUGAUGACAUACUAUUAGAAUUGAAGAAGCAUGUGGACAAGUACUUGCAAGAGAGAGAUCACCAGCAGACAAAAUCUGAGCCUUCCGAGAAUGAGGCUGUGAAUGUUUCUGGCCUCAGUCAUUCGUCCACAAAUCCCUGCAAAGGUGGUGAGCCUGUUGAGGAGGAUGUGGACAUUUGCGGCAAUGCAUCCCCUAUAUUGAUAGAGAAGGAUCCACAGAUCAGAACAAGCAAAUGUGGUAGUCCAAGUAGUUCCAGCAGUGGCUCGGGAUCUUCAUCCAGUGAUUCUGACUCAGGCAGUGACGCUGAAAGCGAACCAGAAAAAGCUGGUAGCCCAGCAAAGCUUGUGAAGGGUAUUGAAAUACCAGAACAACCUGCAGAGCAAGAAAAGAGUGAUGAUGUUAUUAGCCCUGUUGAUGCUAACAACACUACUGCUGAUGUGGAACUCCGUGAACUGGACAAUGAGUCCAAGGCUGCACCUGAGGACACUGCUGCUGAUGUGGAACUCGGUGAGCAGGACCACGAGUCGAAGGCUGCACCUGAGGGGGAGAAUGCAAAAUCUGACAGGCAAGUCUCCCCGGACAAGCUCUUACGAGCAGCUCUUUUGAGGGGCCGUUAUGCUGAUGUAAUUGUGAAAGCUCGUGGGAUUCUCUGCCAGGGUGGAGAUAAACAGGAAGAGCUGGAGAAACUGCAGAAGGAAGAGAAAGAACGGCUUUUGGCUGAAGGUAAUGCAGCCAUGGAAGCUCGCAGAGCUGAAGCAGAGGCUGAAUCUAAGCGUAAGCGGGACCUUGAGAGGGAAAAGGCUCGUCAGGCCUUGCAGGAGAUGGAGAGAACUGUAGAAAUUAAUGACAGCGUUGAUCCCAAGGACCUAGAAAUGCUUGGUACAGUCACCACAGAACAUAUUGUGAGUUCUGUCGAUGAAACGAGUCCAGAGCAUUCCCAGGAUGGCAUGCCCAGUUUUCUUCCUGGUUCUGGCAGCAUGUUGGAAAAACUUGGACUAUUUAUGAAAGUAGACGAGGAAGAAGAGGAAGAAGAGCCAUGCAGCAAAGAUGCGGAUGAAGGAGAAAUCAACUAAUGUCUGUUGACAUGUUGGAGCCUUCUGGUCAAAGACAGAACAAUCGCCUGUUUCAGCUGGCCGACACACAUGGGGAAAUUGCUGGAUGCAUGCCUUUGGAAGGGAGGCGGGGACAGAGAUCGAGGCCACCAAAAUCCAGCUGCAAAUGAAGAUGGAGUUCAUCUCUAAAAUGCAGUAUUCCUCCCGGAAUCAAGACGUUGCUGCGAGCUGUUGUUGGGUGUAUUAAUCUGAUGGAGGCUUCUGGAAGGUUCCUUCCGACUCGCGCGUGGUCAGAUGUUGGCUCAGUACCACUUCUCACCGACACUUUUGCUGCUGUAAGACGCCCAAAUCCAGCUGCUUUGGUGAUACUGUCUCAAUACAAUCCAGUACGCAUUAUGAGUACUAAAGUAUUGGUUUGUGGUGUCUUGCUUUCUGUGAGUGUGAAGUGCAAGCGGGACAAUAUCUGCCAAAAUUUGUAUGCACGUAUCUACGGUUGUUCAUUUGUAUACACGGAUAGACAGACAGAUAGUGUGUAUUAUACGAUUAUCACCAGGUACUACAUAGUACAGUAUAAUUUAAUGUAUUUUGGCUACGGUUUGGUUUGACUAAUUCGAAUGUAUUGCCUAGAUAUGUAGGAUGGACUGAUCAUCUCUAUUCUACUAAUUUCUAAUAUGUCAGUUCAGAUUGUUUAAAGUGCAUUCUUCCUCCCAAGGCCUUGUUAAGUUGCUAUGGAUUUAGGGCCAAUUCUUUUCUUUUGGGGUUUAUGGCG
rnacentral:rRNA from 1 species